rnacentral:lncRNA from 7 species
GAAAUGCUUCCAUCUCACACUGUCCUCCAGACCAGAGGGAUUAUAUGGGCUUUCAGAAUCUUAUUAUACGUGGAGAAAUGCACAUAUCUUGCCUGAAGGACAUCUCAGAGAAAACUCGAGAACAGCUGCCUGGCAGAGGGCAGCGGUGGAUUCUUUGCGGACUGCUGAAGAAGGUUGGCACGAAUUACAAGGCUGAAGCACAAUCCAGAGCAGGAGGACAGAAGGGACGUCCCCAUGUUUGGAAUCAGCCUGCUCCACAGCUGGUGGCUGCAGCAGCACCAGAGAUGGGUGCUGCCAGGUGGGCGGUGGGACUGCUGCCCUACAGCCACGUCUGUCUGCCACCACCCCGCUCCUUUCCCAUUAGUGUUUCCCUCCAGAAUGACUGUGACUUCCAGGGGCACCUCUGGGAAUGUUUCUUUGGCGCACGCACCAAAGGCACCUCUGAUUGUUUUGUUUGUUUCAAGAUGAGUUGUGUACCUGCUGUUUGCAGCCCCUACCCCGAGGCCACGCUCACAGGCUGUCAGCUCCUGGAGCCGAGGAUCCGUCCCUUCACUGCCAUAGAAAGCAAAACCCCAACCUCGGUGAACUUUGGCAUAUUUUCCUAAUUGAUGCGAAUGAGAUGAGAGGGAAAACUGACUCCUCUGACCUCCACAGCAUAACUGUGUACCGUGUGUUGCAUGAAUAAAGGGGUGUGCCAUAGCUGCACAAAUGUGAACUGGCACCCUUCUACCCUUAACAGCUUUGCUCUGUGUCAUCCAGCUGUUUGACAGGAAUGGACCAAAUGCUGUCAGUAUUCUCAUUAGUAAAUUUGCAGUCGCUCAGUGAUGGAGUGCAGUGCCUUUGGAGGGGCUUUGGACAGUGAGUCCUGCUUGCUGCACAGGAUCAUAAGGAAGAGCAGCUCCUCUCUGAAGAAAAGUACACAGAAAGGAAGUGAAGAGCUCCGGUCCUGGGCUUCUGAUGCAGAAUCAAGGAGAAAUAGUGAAAAUAUUGGAAAUGGAGAAUGGCAACAAGUGAAAUCACAUUCUAGUCUUGCAUGGAAGUGUGAAACUGCUGCAAAACACCCGGCUCUCACAGCUCCGUUGACUCCAAUGAGAUGCAUGCAGCUGAGUUGGUAUGAACUCAUCAGGCGGACGGGGAGCAGAGCAGAUCUUUAUGAACUGAAGCACAUCGAGCGAUAACUGAAAUGCCUGAAAAUCAUCACAGCACUGAUAGGUGUGAAUUUAUGCCAGCUCGCAAAGUACUUUUUGUAUCUUAAUUAUUGAGGAGCAGAUGAUUAUGUUAUGUCAUAUCGCUGGGGGGGAUGAGAUUAGAAGCCCGGGGAAUGGGAGUAUCAUUAGAGAAGCAAAGAUGAUGAUAUUUGCUUUGGGAAAAAAGUCCAUAAGAGGUUGGCGUUGUACUGCAGUUACAGCAACAACUGCAGCCAGCAGCUGAGUGCCCGCUUCGACACGGCGCGCUGUGCAAACAACGAUCAUUGUGCACUUCUGGGCUCAGGUGCUAAAUGGAUUACUGGGAAACUCCCAGAAUAAAAACGUGUGAUCCCUACAUGAAAUGUAGC